AGCAGCCGCGGUAAUUCCAGCUCCAAUAGCGUAUAUUAAAGUUGUUGCAGUUAAAAAGCUCGUAGUUGAAUUUCGGGAUCAGUUGAUCGGUCGUGCCUCGGUACGUACUGGUCAAAUUGAUUCCUACCUUCUGACGAACCACGAUGUCAUUAAUUUGGUGUCGUGGGAAAUCAGGACUGUUACUUUGAAAAAUUAGAGUGUUUAAAGCAGGCUCGCGCUUGAAUACAUUAGCAUGGAAUAAUGAAAUAGGACGUUUGAUUCUACUUUGUUGGUUUCUAGGAUCGACGUAAUGAUUAAUAGGGAUAGUUGGGGGCAUUAGUAUUCAAUUGUCAGAGGUGAAAUUCUUGGAUUUAUUGAAGACUAACUACUGCGAAAGCAUUUGCCAAGGAUGUUUUCAUUAAUCAAGAACGAAAGUUAGGGGAUCGAAGACGAUCAGAUACCGUCGUAGUCUUAACCAUAAACUAUACCGACUUAGGGAUCGGAUGAUGUUAAUUUUUAAUGA
rnacentral:rRNA from 1 species